ensembl:lncRNA
UUUUUGGCUGCAUCACAGCAGUGACAACGCCAGAUCCUUAACCUGCUGAGCCACCAGGGAACUCCGAGAGGAAAUUAAGUUACAAAGAGGCAUUGCAUGAGUUUCCUGGGGCUGCCUCAACAAGGCGCCACAAAGAGCCCCCUUAAAACAACAGAGAUUUAUCCUCCCACCCUUCUGGAGGCCAGAAGUCUGCAACUGGGGGUUGCAGGUUCGGUUCCCCCUGACGGUUCUCGGGGAGGGGGGCUUCCCUGUCUUUCUGCAGCUUCUGGUGGCUGCCAGCGACCCCCCGGUGUGCCUUGGCUGGUGGGUUCAUCUCUCGGGCUUGGCCUUGGCUUUCAGGGCUCACUCUGCCUCUGCUCUCUGUACCUGCAACUUUCCUUCUGCUUGGAGGACGGUCACAUGGGAUAAAAGCCCCUUCUCAAGCAGUGCGGCACCAUCUCGCCUUGAUUAUAUUGACAAAGACCCGACUUCCAAACACAGUCCCAUCCACAGGUACGGGCUCAGGAUGUGGUCACACGUUUGGAGGGAACACAGUUCAACCCCAAACAGCGGGGACCCACAGGAGCGAGGGCAGCAUGAGGUGACAGGUGGUGUCAGAGGAUCCUGAGGCCGUCGCAGGGCACCAGGGGGACAGUGGCGAGUGAGCUGAGCUGGCCUGAGGCUCGGGGAGCCAAGGCGCCUCCAACUCGGCCGGGAGCCGCCUUCCUCCCCCCACUGCUUCCUGUUCCUCCUCUGCUUUCCAGUACUUGAGAUUCCAUUAGACAAAUCAAGCGCAGCUUUCCUGCCAGAAAUGUCUCUGAGUGUGGGCGACCGCGGCCUCGAGGGGGUUCAAGUUGGCCCCACACCUGCCGCAAAGGCCAGCGUCCACUGCCCAGAGAAAAAGCCCUCGGGCCUCCUCUGUGGCUGCUGCUCCAAGUGUGCCCAGAGAUCAGGGUGUCUCCUUGAUGCUGCUGGACUUUUGGGGGUGCCUGUCCCUAGCAUGACAUCAGCCGGGCACAGUGUCUCCUGGGCCAGGCUGAGACGGGCACCGUCCCACGUUGCCUGUGUCGCGCAGCCUGUGGGGGCAGAGCUGCCCGUGCAGCCUCUGCGCCGAACCAAGCAAUUCCUCUCGGGCUCCCUAUUUUUAGUGUGAAGCCUGGGGCUCACAGCAGUUGGCAGAAAGCCGCCAAACCCCUGGCUCUUUCUUCCAGAAGCCCAGCCUGGCGCUUCUGAGUGGAUGGGGGAGCUGGAGGCUUCACGACAAGGAUAGAGAUUGAGUCUGAAACCCAGACCAGAGGGGGCCUGGCCCCCAGCCCUCGGCCCCUCGCUGCUCCAACACCAACACCCAGGAGACCCAGAGUCCCCCAUCCCUAGAGAGGCUUUAGGGGAAGGCCUGGGAAGGGAGAUGCCAUCACAAGGCAAGACGGAAAAAGUAGGGUGAGGGGCGUGGCGCUGUCACGUUCCGGGUGAAAUGUGGGGAUGCAGGGAGUGGGGGGUGGGUGGAAGGAGGUCUCCCUGUGUCUCUAGUCCGGAACACCAGCAGAGCCCACUGUGCACGUAGCCCACACCCUCCUGCCUCCGUUCUUAGAAUCGGGCGUGAUGCUGAGGGCUUAGUACCCAGGCAUCAGCAGGCAGCCGAGCCUGACUCUGAGAAGGGCCACCGUCGCCCUCUGCCCACCCACCUCGUCUCCCUCAGGGCUCCACUGCUCCUCCAUCACCCAGGCGUCACCUGCACGUGGGCUCUCAGCUCCCCGAGGCCAUGGCCCAUCUCAGCCAGCUUCUCUGCCUGGGGCCACCUGGCACUGCUUCAAGAAAUACUCUUGGAAGAAAUUCACGGCUCCGACACCUUCCCCCUGUUUAACUUUGCCUCAGGAGGUGUCUCUCUGGACUCUCACCCCUGGAAUAUCCUGGGUGGUCUCUGCCAGGAGGGCACAGAUGCCGCCUCCCAUCUCUGCCCUUUGGAGCUCAGCCUUCAAAACGUCAUACGCAGACGGGUCUCCAAUACGUGCUGGGCCACGGCUGCGCAUCCUGUGGCUCCAGGGGGACAUGUUAAGCCAUCUCUGUUUCAGCGCUUCUCGUGUUUAUUCUAAGCUUUGGAUUUCCUGUUAUUAAUAGUGACAGUAAGACACUUGAGGCUUUUACAUAAGAAGCUUCAUUGAGAGGCUUCGGAGUAUGUACGACCAUUAGUGUUCAACCUUUAAGCACCGCCCGCAUCUGAACUUUCCCUCGUGGGAAGCUUAUAUAACCCAACCCCGAGCGAAAGCAUUUUGGGGGCUGCUCCCCAAAGCGCUUUGGAAAUGGUGCGCGCAGCAGACGGGGCUCCACGCCCGGCUGCUUCUGCUGAUAGUCAGCCUUUACGUAACAGCAGCCAGGCUCCAGGUUGGCCGUUCUUGCAAGCGUAAACUGCAGGUGGCGAUUAUGGCAGAUCUCUAGAUGAUAAUGUCAAACGCACCGCCUCUUUGUCUGUUAUUUGUAAGGCAAUACAAGUAAAAACAGAAAGGGGAAAAAAAAAAAAAAAAACCCAAGGCAGAAGCUGUGAGAAUAAAGGCAGCCUGAAUCGCAGGGCUAACUGUUCUGCUUAUGGAAUGAAUCGAUGCCACCUGCGCCUGGUCUCGGGAACGCCAGACCCCCCCCCCCAGACGAUGCCCUGGUCACCCAGAGCUGGCAGCUGGGCAGCGGGGCUUUCAGGGCGGUGGCUGCUUCCCUGUGGCAGCUUCUGUCUGGCUACACCCAGGAGGGUUCUGCUGUGAUGAGUCCCACCAACUCCCACCCCACAGCUGGGCAAUGACUUUGUUGCCCCAAAGCUCCCCUGUCCCUUGACCCCACCCCCCCAAGGCCGAGCAGCUCUCCCAGGCCACACAUGAGGUGGGGGUGCUGAGGGCCUGGGAGGAACACAGCCAGCAGCCAGGCGACAGAGACAGCAGUGUGUUCCCGGGGCUGCAGGGGACAGUGACCGACCAUCCACUCUCCAGGCACAGCUCGUUUGGGUUUAGCUGGCCUAUAAAAUUCUUAUUACAUGCUUGUGGGCACGGCUGCCACCUCUUCCAGCAAAAUAAAUGAAGCAGCAGCCUGGAAACCCUAAUGCAGCUGGAGAGCGUGCCGGCACGCAGGCUGUCCCUUGUCACCGGGGCUGCUCGUCCCAGUUCCUCGGAGCCGGGAGCUGCACUGAGGGGUCACGUCUCCUCCCCUCCCCUUCCUGCCUCCUCACUGCAUCCCCAGAGAGCUGCACCUCUGGACCAGCCGGAGGAGAAGUGAAAGGCAUUUGUGGUCUUUCCUGCGGAGGAAGGAUGGGGAAGAGGAUGGGUGAAGGCUAAGCCGGGGAAUGCAGUCGCCGGGGAUCAUGGAGCUGGACACCCCCUCGGGGCUGCCCUGGCCCUUCUUGCCGCAGCACGUGCCUGGACACACGGCCUUGUGCCCAAACGACGGCAGGAUGCACAAGGUCAGGGUCUUGGUAAGCCUCCCCCAACCAGAUGCAGAGAUCCAGCGGCCUCGAAUCCACGACCCGGAGAAAUGAUAAGCUCAGGAGGAUAACACGACCUUAGGGAGCCCUCAGCAUGCGCCCCCCUCGUCCGGCACAGGACACACGUUCUGGACUUUGAUCACUGCCACCCUGUGGGGUGGACGCUCGCUUCACCCCACUUCACGGAUGGAGACCCAGAGGCGUGUAAGGAACCUGCCCCCCAUGCCUGGUUCAGAGGCAGAGACUGGCCCCCAAAUCGGUGCUCUCGCCCCUGAGGUCACGGAGCCGGCAAGCGAGCUGAGCGAACUGAAUCUGAAGCGCAUCUGUCUCCAGGAACGGGUGACGUCUCCCUGCCUGCGAUACAGCACCCUGCACAGACCACAGCGCAGGCAACCGCCCGAGGGGAACACAAUCAGGACGGGGAAACGGGGCAGGGCUUUAGGGAACGCAGAGUUUUCCAGAAGGCACAAUAAUCCACCACGGCGGUGACCUGCACUUUGCAAACUGAGGAGAUGAGAGUGGAAACGAGGUGUUCCCUGGUUGCUCCGUGGGUUGAGGAUCUGGUGGGGUCACUGCAGUGGCGUGGGUUCGAUCCCUGGCCCUGGGGGACUUCCGCAUGCUGAGCAGGCAGCUCCCCAACCACUUCAGGCAUAAGCAGAAUGCCGUCUCCACACACCAUGCCAUCUGCCUUGGCCUUCACGAGCAAGGGCACUGUGGCACCUGCCACGAUGUGGAAGAACCCAAGGACAGGGCGCUCGGUGGACUAAGGCAGGCACAGGUGACAAACGUGGCAUGAUUCCACCCGCAGCCGGCAAACGCAGAGAGAUGGGUGCGGGUCCCAGGGCUGGGGCGUGGGUGCUCAGUGAGGACCCAGUUGGAGACAGUCCUGGAGACGGCUGCUGGUGUGAGCGUGUAUGCCCCUGCGCUGCGCCCUUAAACGCGGUGAAGACGGCAGAAUGUUACGUGUACUUCACUACAGUUUGUAAAAAUUAAACACAUGCUAGGCAGGGAAUCUAAAGCCAACUAAACAGAACGUUCUGGCUCGUCUUUAGCUGUGUCUAGAUGGAGUUUUCAGGGGUGCUUUGGGAAUGGAGAGGUUGUGGCCCUGGCAGGGGUGUGGGGAGGGGACAGGUGGGCGGGGGGGGGCAAGGCAAAUCACCGACUCCAGAGGGUAUUUUUUUUGAGAUGGCCAAUGUUUGGAGGCAUCUUCAAGGCAGCUGAGCACCCCUGUCCGGUGACCCUCGCACGGCUGGAAACGAGCGCCUAAGGAGAGAGGCGUGCACUGCUCCUCCUCCAGCGGCUGGAUCUUCAGGAGACGCGCCCUUAGAAUCGUCUCAAAAAGAUUCAGAGGCUUUGGGAACACAGUCACUUAACCACAAAAGCAGGAGGAAAGGGUGCUGAGCAAAAGGCCGGGGCUGCGCCUCAACUCCUUUGGAGCUGGGUCCCCGAGCCGCCCCCCAGCCUGGAGCCUGAGUCUCUGUGAGUGGCCGGGGAUGGGGGGUGGGGGGCUCUCCCUCCCGCAUGUCUGGUGGGGGAGGGGCAAGGGGGGGACCGGGAUGCUGCUGUCUUGUCCACCUGGUGGAUACCUGAGGUCCCUCCGUGACCUCUGGGCACCCUCUUAGCCCUUCCUGCACAGACUGCCCAGUCCCCAGGAGUGUGGCCUCUGCCACAGAGCAGGUGUGGGGGGGAAGGGAGCAGGUGAUGGGAUAGAGAUGGUUCAGCUUGUGCUGAUGUGGUGGGAGAGAUGGCAAACCUAAGACAGGGGCGUGGGGACCCAGCCUGCGGUAACCCACGGCAACCUGUUCACCCAGCUCCACUGCCCGCUGCUGGCACAGGGCGCCACGUCCUGGCUGCUUCCCUGCCAGCUCUCAUUGGCAUGUUGGUUCCCAGGGCAUCCAAGGGGGCAGCCGGCCCCUGCUUUUCUUCCCUGAGGCCCAGAGCCGUGUUCUCCAUGUUUCAGAGGCCAGGCAGCCCCUCUGCCCACCAGGGCUCAGGUGACACCACUGGCCCCCUUACUCAGGGCAUGAGGUGGCCCUGCCACUCAGAGGCAUCACCUCUGCCUGGUCGGAGAAGGGGCUUCCAGGGCAGUGGCCCAGGGCUUGGGGCCUUGGGCUCACAGAGAUAACACACCAGGGACACCAAGGCACUGCCAUGGCUUCUACCAGCGUCUCCGAGGGGACAGGUGCAGGGUGGAGGGAGGGUUGGGGGACAAAACGUGCUCACUGAGCCUCCACCUGGGCUCUGUGUGUCACUUAGUGCUAUCUGUGUGUCCCCCCGAGAAGAAAGGACCCGUGGCCCAGUGCCAUGGUCUCAGCUCGCCCACACGGCUGCCGGGAGCAGCUCCCCUCGGCACUCAGCCCGAGAGGUCUCCGUGUCAUCAUCCAUCUACUCUGAUGACAUCAGCGGGGUUCGGGCCUCCAGCCGGGGCCUCUAGAUGUUGGAAGUAUCUGUUUUAAGAGGCCUUCCGACCACGGCAAGCGGCAAGCAGGAGGGAGGCCAGCGAUGACCUUAGGCUAGAAUCUGGAGAAACCAUGUUUCCAAGAUUUCUUAUUUGGAGGCACCUGCCAGGGCAUCUCAGGCAGGCAGGCUGAUCUGCCGGAGUGGCUGAUCCACUUGUGGAAAAAGAGAUUGAACACUGAGGCACUUAUCCAUUUUUCGCAGCCCGGCUCUGGCCCAGCUGGAGGCAGGGAGCAUUCAGGCCAGGGGCCCGGCCUCCUCCCCAGCGCCACCAGCCCCGCCUCCACGCACACUGGACGCCCCAAAGGGGGGGGCAGUGACCUCCUUUUCCAACUUCCCGUGGCUGCAAUAAGCUUAUGUUACCAUUUCAAUAGUCUUGUAAAGACCUCACGCUAUGCAGAUUUAAAGGAAGAUGAAAUUCUUUGCUGGACUGGAGACUCUCGUACUAAGUGAACGAAGUCAGAAAGAGAAAGGCAAACACCAGGUGACAUCACUUCUAUCUGGGAUCUAAUAUAUGGCACAGGAGAACCUUUCCACAGGAAAGAAAAUCAUGGACUUAGAGAAUAGACCUGUGGUCGCCAAGGGGUUGGGGGACGGGGACUGGGAGUUUGGGGUUAACAGAUGCAUUUGGAGUGGAUGAGCAAUGAGAUCCUGCUAAGCACCGGAAACUGCAUCUAGUCACUUGUGAUGGAACAGGAUGGAGGAUAAUGUGAGAAAAAGAAUAUGUGUAUAUACGUAUGACUGGGUCACUUUGCUGCACAACAGAAAUUGACAGAACACUGGAAAUCAACUAUAAUGGAAAAAAAUCAUAAAAAGUCCCCCCCCCAAAAAAGACUUUGCUGGGAAUGAUGAUGUGGCCAGGGGCGGGGGCGGACAUCCAGCCAGCAGUGCUGCAGAGAGUGGACAGCAGCAGAGAAGCCCAGAGAACUCUCCAUGGGUCUGCCGCGUCAGGCCAGCAGCCCUGGACAAAUGCGCAAAGACCCUUCCAGGGGGCUGAAGACAGAGGCGCUGAGUAACAGGCCAAGCGUGGGCAUCCGCAGGCUUUGCCAGGUGGCAGGACAGACAUUCCAUGAGCCGGGGGGGACAAGAGGCCCCGCCACGCUGACCGCACUGGACAAGCCUGGGAUGGGGGCACCUUCAGCGAACCCAGGAGGGGAUGCCUUGGGAAGAGCAGUGGCUGAAAGGCCGGCGUGGGAGUGGGCAGAAGGUGGGCACGAAGGUGGGGCAGGGGGUGGGCCUGACGCAGGUGGGAACCUCUGGGGGGCGGGGCGGGGACGAGCCCCACCUCCCGCGGGGCAGAAUCCCCCUGGGGUCCCAGUCACAGCAGGGCCAGGCCUGGAGAAGGUGUCAGCAUGGAGAGAAGACUGGACGUGGGGGCUGGGGUCCAUGGGGGCGGGGGGGGCGGAGUGUCACGGAGCCGACCGCAGCGAGCCCUUGGGAAGGGUCAGACAAGGGAAACAUCUUCUGUGCUGUGAUGAGAGCUUUCCAACGCCCCUCCUUUUGGAUUUGUCUUAUUUGUUGCAUAUCUGAGAGUAGGCACAACUUGGCAGAAAUCAAGCGGCUGAUCGCCUACUAAGCCCUGAGUUCCCGCUGCAGAGCCGGGCAGAGACUAAGACGCCGCAGCUCAGAGUGGCCAAGAGUGGACCCAGCAGAGGCCGUGACCAGGGGCUGUCCCGCAGGGACACCGUCAGAGGUGGUCCCUUUUCACGGAACUUACUCACUCCAGGCUGGUCAGUCCUGCCCGGACGAGGCUUCUCACCAAGCCCAAGGUCAAGGCCAGACCAGGGGUUCCACAAAGGCCUCAUUCUGCCUUGUUUAGAAGGUGGGCAAACCCUCAGCUGGACGGGCCACCAGGCAGGAGCCCCUCCAGCUCCCUGCUGCCAAGGGCAUCGUCCGCUCACGCCCCACACAGUCCAGCGGAGCCCACCUCUCUCUGGUGGCAGAGGAGCAGUUCUGAGCUCAGGAGGUGCGGCAGCAAACCCUCAGGCGAGAAAAGGACACCUCAGCUCCGGGAGAGGAGUCCUCGGAGCAAGGGACCCGGCUCCCACUCCCG